CGUGUAGGCGGCCGAUCAAGUCGGGUGUGAAAGCCCUCGGCUCAACCGAGGAAUUGCACCUGAUACUGAUUGGCUAGAGUCCGGGAGGGGGUAGCGGAAUUCCCAGUGUAGCGGUGAAAUGCGUAGAUAUUGGGAAGAACACCAGUGGCGAAGGCGGCUACCUGGACCGGAACUGACGCUGAGGCGCGAAAGCUAGGGGAGCGAAUG
rnacentral:rRNA from 1 species